rnacentral:rRNA from 1 species
AAAAGCCUCUAAGCAUCAGGUAACAUCAAAUCGUACCCCAAACCGACACAGGUGGUCAGGUAGAGAAUACCAAGGCGCUUGAGAGAACUCGGGUGAAGGAACUAGGCAAAAUGGUGCCGUAACUUCGGGAGAAGGCACGCUGAUAUGUAGGUGAAGUCCCUCGCGGAUGGAGCUGAAAUCAGUCGAAGAUACCAGCUGGCUGCAACUGUUUAUUAAAAACACAGCACUGUGCAAACACGAAAGUGGACGUAUACGGUGUGACGCCUGCCCGGUGCCGGAAGGUUAAUUGAUGGGGUUAGCGCAAGCGAAGCUCUUGAUCGAAGCCCCGGUAAACGGCGGCCGUAACUAUAACGGUCCUAAGGUAGCGAAAUUCCUUGUCGGGUAAGUUCCGACCUGCACGAAUGGCGUAAUGAUGGCCAGGCUGUCUCCACCCGAGACUCAGUGAAAUUGAACUCGCUGUGAAGAUGCAGUGUACCCGCGGCAAGACGGAAAGACCCCGUGAACCUUUACUAUAGCUUGACACUGAACAUUGAGCCUUGAUGUGUAGGAUAGGUGGGAGGCUUUGAAGUGUGGACGCCAGUCUGCAUGGAGCCGACCUUGAAAUACCACCCUUUAAUGUUUGAUGUUCUAACGUUGACCCGUGAUCCGGGUUGCGGACAGUGUCUGGUGGGUAGUUUGACUGGGGCGGUCUCCUCCUAAAGAGUAACGGAGGAGCACGAAGGUUGGCUAAUCCUGGUCGGACAUCAGGAGGUUAGUGCAAUGGCAUAAGCCAGCUUGACUGCGAGCGUGACGGCGCGAGCAGGUGCGAAAGCAGGUCAUAGUGAUCCGGUGGUUCUGAAUGGAAGGGCCAUCGCUCAACGGAUAAAAGGUACUCCGGGGAUAACAGGCUGAUACCGCCCAAGAGUUCAUAUCGACGGCGGUGUUUGGCACCUCGAUGUCGGCUCAUCACAUCCUGGGGCUGAAGUAGGUCCCAAGGGUAUGGCUGUUCGCCAUUUAAAGUGGUACGCGAGCUGGGUUUAGAACGUCGUGAGACAGUUCGGUCCCUAUCUGCCGUGGGCGCUGGAGAACUGAGGGGGGCUGCUCCUAGUACGAGAGGACCGGAGUGGACGCAUCACUGGUGUUCGGGUUGUCAUGCCAAUGGCACUGCCCGGUAGCUAAAUGCGGAAGAGAUAAGUGCUGAAAGCAUCUAAGCACGAAACUUGCCCCGAGAUGAGUUCUCCCUGACUCCUUGAGAGUCCUGAAGGAACGUUGAAGACGACGACGUUGAUAGGCCGGGUGUGUAAGCGCAGCGAUGCGUUGAGCUAACCGGUACUAAUGAACCGUGAGGCUUAACCUUACAACGCCGAAGCUGUU